rnacentral:rRNA from 1 species
AGUGAACGCUGGCGGUAGGCCUAACACAUGCAAGUCGAACGGCAGCACAGUAAGAGCUUGCUCUUACGGGUGGCGAGUGGCGGACGGGUGAGGAAUACAUCGGAAUCUACUUUUUCGUGGGGGAUAACGUAGGGAAACUUACGCUAAUACCGCAUACGACCUACGGGUGAAAGCAGGGGAUCUUCGGACCUUGCGCGAUUGAAUGAGCCGAUGUCGGAUUAGCUAGUUGGCGGGGUAAAGGCCCACCAAGGCGACGAUCCGUAGCAGGUCUGAGAGGAUGAUCGGCCACACUGGAACUGAGACACGGUCCAGACUCCUACGGGAGGCAGCAGUGGGGAAUAUUGGACAAUGGGCGCAAGCCUGAUCCAGCCAUACCGCGUGGGUGAAGAAGGCCUUCGGGUUGUAAAGCCCUUUUGUUGGGAAAGAAAAGCAGCAGGUUAAUACCCCGCUGUUCUGACGGUACCCAAAGAAUAAGCACCGGCUAACUUCGUG